GACGAACGCUGGCGGCGUGCCUAAUACAUGCAAGUCGAACGAACCGCGACUAGGUGCUAGCACUUGGUCAAGGUGAGUGGCGAACGGGUGAGUAACACGUGGGUAACCUACCUCAUAGUGGGGGAUAACAGUCGGAAACGACUGCUAAUACCGCAUAGGACAUAGGAUCACAUGAUCCAGUGAGGAAAGGUGGCGCAAGCUAUCGCUAAGAGAUGGACCCGCGGUGCAUUAGCUAGUUGGUAGGGUAAAGGCCUACCAAGGCGAUGAUGCAUAGCCGACCUGAGAGGGUGAUCGGCCACAUUGGGACUGAGACACGGCCCAAACUCCUACGGGAGGCAGCAGUAGGGAAUCUUCCGCAAUGGACGCAAGUCUGACGGAGCAACGCCGCGUGAGUGAAGAAGGUCUUCGGAUCGUAAAGCUCUGUUGUUAGAGAAGAACAGCGCAUAGAGUAACUGUUAUGCGUGUGACGGUAUCUAACCAGAAAGCCACGGCUAACUACGUG
rnacentral:rRNA from 1 species